GAUUAACGCUGGCGGCGUGCAUGAAACAUGCAAGUCGAGCGCGAUGCGAGCUUGCUCGCAUCUAGCGGCGCACGGGUGAGUAACACGUGAGCAACCUACCUCGGAGCCCGGGAUAGCCCUGAGAAAUCAGGAUUAAUACCGGAUGAUGUCGCCGUGGGGCAUCCCAUGGCGAAGAAAGGCUUCGGCCACUCCAAGACGGGCUCGCGGCCUA
rnacentral:rRNA from 1 species